AGCCCGGUGGUGUAGCGGUAAGCAUAGCGCGGCGCCCGCCCCCGAGGUCCGGGGUUCGAAUCCCCGCCGGGCUACCA
rnacentral:tRNA from 1 species